AGCAGCCGCGGUAAUUCCAGCUCCAAUAGCGUAUAUUAAAGUUGUUGCAGUUAAAAAGCUCGUAGUUGAAUUUCGGGAUCAAUUAAUUGGUCGUGCCUCUGGUACGUACUGAUUUUAUUGGUUUCUCCCUUCUGACGAACCAUGAUGUCAUUAAUUUGGUGUCGUGGAGAAUCAGGACUGUUACUUUGAAAAAAUUAGAGUGUUUAAAGCAAGCUAACGCUUGAAUACAUUAGCAUGGAAUAAUGAAUAGGACGUUUGAUCCUAUUUUGUUGGUUUCUAGGAUCGACGUAAUGAUUAAUAGGGAUAGUUGGGGGCAUUAGUAUUCAAUUGUCAGAGGUGAAAUUCUUGGAUUUAUUGAAGACUAACUACUGCGAAAGCAUUUGCCAAGGAUGUUUUCAUUAAUCAAGAACGAAAGUUAGGGGAUCGAAGACGAUCAGAUACCGUCGUAGUCUUAACCAUAAACUAUGCCGACUAGGGAUCGGAUGAUGUUAAUUUUUUAAUGUACUCA
rnacentral:rRNA from 1 species